rnacentral:lncRNA from 1 species
GGCUUUUUUAGCUUUUCGGUUCUUCUUGUGCAUGGCAUGAGUUAAAUUCAAACAAGAAUACUUCUGUGUGCCCAGGUUUCCUGUGAAAUACAGUUCCAGCCUUACAACAGAUACUAUUUAAAUAAGCCUUCUAUCCCUAACUUUUCUAAAGAUGUUGGUGCAAUUGGUCAGUCAGAAGUUACUGUUGUCAAAUCUACCAUUUCUAAUUCAGCUAAAUAUAUCAUGGUAGGCAAUUUCACAUCAACAGAAUAUAAAAACAAACUGGCAGCAUCCUUGAUCCAAAGAACAGGAAUGAGACAAAAGAGGCAAUAAUGUCCCUCAGCUUGGUAAGCGAUAAUUGGAUGGGUAAAAAAGAAAAAUAUAGGUGUUUUCUUUACAGCAGCUGUGAUGAUUUAGGAUUGAUGAUCUUUUUCAGCUUUUGUUGAAGAGUAUAUAUUUCAAAUGCUAAUAACUCUAUGUAAAUAGACUCUUGCAUAUUAUGAGAGUUGAUGACAUUGUGUGCCAUGCUGCAGAGCACCUAGGGCUGGUUUGGUGUGUGCACAUUCUCCUUUGAAUGCAGAGGCCACUGUUAGGCAGUACAUGGAAACCCACUUCCUGGUUAGGGUGGCUUAAGAGCUGCUCUUACUGCUUCUGGUGUUAGUUCCUUAACUUCUAGCACAGUGUUACCUCGUGGCCACCAGGUAGAAUCACACGAAGGUGGGUUCUUGGUGUGAGGGAAUGCUGUGCUAGUAUUAAAUGUGUGAAUACUUCUGUUGAUCUUAAAUUGGAGGGAGAUGGACUGAGGCAAGUCACAAGUUACACUGACAGGUUUACAGUGAAGUAAUAAUACUAAUGACUGACGCUGCACUGUGUGAAGCCUGAAGAAGUAUCUGAUCCAGGAAAUUUGCUUUGAAACCUGUAGAGCUUCAGUGAUCCACUUAAUGAUCUCUAUGGGAAAUCCUCCUCCUCUGCAUAUCUUUUUCUAUUAGGCUUCUCCUCACUUAAAAA